CCAUAAGAGUGUGUUGGAUCAGGAACUGGAAUAGCUGAUAAGUACUGGGGACUGCUCUGUGCUGUUAUGAAUGUGAAAUCCUCGAAAUGUCCACUGUAAGCCCUACCACUCAUUUCCGUGAAGGUAGAUGGAACAGGCAUUGGAUUCAACUUACAUGCGAUUGUCUAGAUUGUGGGUGCUGUGGUGAUCUCCUGUGGAUGGACUGCCACUGUGGGAUAACCUGUGACUCUUCAGCCAUGCGGAUCCUCCGGGCUCGAGCUCGCUCUUGAGCUAUCACUAGAGCCUGCAUGCAACGAAGAGUAGCAGCAGCUUGCUUCCUGACAAGGUGUCCUCUUACCAAAGCUUGCAGCUUUACCAGGCCUCUCAAUGCACACAGAGCUUUUCUUGCCUGCGAUAAGAUUCAUUCUGAUACAUGAAGAUUUUCUUUCUCUAGCAUCAUAAGUUUUUCCUUAUUUUUAUAUAGAUUCCCAAAUAUUUGAUCCCAGCUUUUAGAACUUUUAAUUACAUGCAUUUUUCAGUCUGCUUAUGGCAUAUGCUUUGAAAUUCCUUUCUUGCUUUACAUAGUGCUGCUGAUUCAUAUUCUUUUGUUGAAAAAAAUUUGGCUUUUCUGAAGAUAUUUGUUUCUUACAAGAAAAUGUUGUUGGUUUUUGCUUAUGAUGUAUUUUAUGUUGAUAUCAAUAGAUUCAUUAGAUUUGUUUUACUUGAUCUCGUGAUAAAUCAGAUUGCAGAAGCUAUGAUAUGUAUCAGUUUUUGUAUUUCUCAGGCUAGAUUUUCAUGUUGUUGAUAUUACCUCAUUGCAGAAGCUAUGACAGGUAUCAGUUGUUGCAGAAGCUAUGACAUGUAUCUCUUUUUAUUUCUCAGGCUAGAUUUUCAUGUUGUUGGUUUUCAGUCAUGAGCAAUUAACAUUUCACAGUUCAAUGUUUUUUCUUCUUUGAACAGACAAGCUAAAUUCAAUUAGAGAGAUUAGAGGAGUACCAGGUAGGCACGAAAAGCAGACUGAAUUUUGGUAGCUGCAUCUUCCUUGACAGCACUGGCUUUUUGUUUAGUGGCAGCGGUUGUGAGGCGUACUACAGCUGCUGCUGCCUGUGCCACAGCAACAGCAGCAUCAGCAGCUGCAGCUGUGGCCACUGCAACAGCCAUUGCAUGCCUUUUAUUGUCAAUCGCAGCCUCCGACAGCCUCUGAAGUGGUGGCACACUUGUGCUCAGUUCUUGUGAACUUAAACUCUUCCCUGCACCUGCCCAUCUCGGAUAUCUCCAUCUCCUUUUCUCCUUGGGAGCAGGCACUGAGAUUGGUGAUGACUGACUAUUGAUUGGCAAUGGAGAGGAAAAUGAUUCAUCUUUCUCUUUCUUUCCAUCCUUCUUCCCCGUCAAGAAGCUCCUGAGCCAUUUGCCUGUCUUCCACAUUUUCCUCUCCUACCACCUCUUAGAGGAGCGAUCAAGAGUCAGUGGCAGAGGAAAGCUAGAUGACACAAGGAUCUCUACAAGAUUGAUUUUAUGGAUUCUUUAUAUAAGACUACUGCAUUUCCUGGAUGCCUUCUGCUGGUGAAGUAAAUGGUGUGAUCCAGCAAUGUUAAUUAGGUAACCAGACAGUGUGAGGAUUAAGGAAUGGGCCAGAGGGCCAUGUGAAGGAAAACACUAUAAACAUGCUGGGGUUGUCAGCAUUUCACAGAGUUCAUCCCAUCAUUGACUUACAGUAACUGAGGCCUUGGCAACUUUUCACCUGGUAGCUGUUGCUGCUGAUCCUGAUGCAUUGUUGGUGCUUGUUCAUGGAAGAACAUGGAUUUGUCACCUUUACAUGGAUUCUAUGAUCUUAACUUGAUGAUGGUUGGAGUAGUUGCUAUGACACACCAGUUGAUUUGAUUGGGAUUACCAUGUCCAUGUGUGGUCAAAUUUCAGUAUUGCGGACCAGAGACUUGUGCCGAGUAAGGGUCAUCAAUCAUUCAAACAGCAGUCUGAAAUGGUGAUGGUGCUGAUAGGGAAGAGAUCUGACAGCAAGCAGAAGAGUGCAGCAGAAAUGGUGAUGGUGCUGAUGGGGAAGAUCUGAACAGCAAGCAGAAGAGUGCAGCAGAAACGGUGAUGGUGCUGAUAGGGAAGAUCUGAACAGCAAGCAGAAGAGUGCAGCAGAAAUGGUGAUGGUGCUGAUAGGGAAGAUCCGACAGCAACCAGAAGAGUGCAGCAGGAAACCUCCAAGUGCUGAAGCUAAACAGGAGACGGAGAAAAAGGCCUCGAAAAGCACACACCUAAAGGUUGCUGUGCGGGUUGAUGAUAGCCAAAAUGUGAGGCAUCGAAAGAGGUGCGUUAUGGUAAUCUUGGCUCCAUGUGCGUGCCACAAGCCUUUACUUGCCAAUGCUCGAUGAUCACGAAGGAAUAAUCUUGACGUAACUAAAUAAAUGAUAUCAAAAUCGAACAUUAUAAUCAUUAAUACUACUGAAAGAGAGUAAAAGAAAAUAAAAGAAAUCAUUCUGCAG